UGCAUCUGCCGGGAAUGGAGCCCUGGCCGCGCCGCCCAUGUGGGAGGCGAGCAUUCUACCACGGAACCACAGAUGU